CCUACGGGUGGCAGCAGUCGAGAAUCAUUCACAAUGGGGGAAACCCUGAUGGUGCGACGCCGCGUGGGGGGAUGAAGGUCUUCGGAUUGUAAACCCCUGUCAUGUGGGAGCAAAUUAAAAAGAUAGUACCACAAGAGGAAGAGACGGCUAACUCUGUGCCAGCAGCCGCGGUAAUACAGAGGUCUCAAGCGUUGUUCGGAAUCACUGGGCGUAAAGCGUGCGUAGGCUGUUUCGUAAGUCGUGUGUGAAAGGCGCGGGCUCAACCCGCGGACGGCACAUGAUACUGCGAGACUAGAGUAAGGGAGAGGGAACCGGAAUUCGCGGUGUAGCAGUGAAAUGCGUAGAUAUCGAGAGGAACACUCGUGGCGAAGGCGGGUUCCUGGACAUUAACUGACGCUGAGGCACGAAGGCCAGGGGAGCGAAAGGGAUUAGAUACCCGAGUAGUC
rnacentral:rRNA from 1 species